rnacentral:ribozyme from 1 species
AGUCAUAAGUUUGAGGCCACAGCAGAAGCACUCACAGUGCAACCCUGUCAGAUUCCAAUGAAUCUGUGAAUUCUGCU